rnacentral:rRNA from 1 species
CAAUAGCGUAUAUUAAAGUUGUUGCAGUUAAAAAGCUCGUAGUUGGAUUUCGAGGCAGCCUGGCUGGUCCGCCGCAAGGCGAGUACUGGUCAGCCGCCCUUCCUCUCGAAAGCCCCGACUGCUCUUCGUUGCAGUGGUCGGGUAGUUCGGGACGUUUACUUUGAAAAAAUUAGAGUGUUCAAGGCAGGCCUACGCCUGAAUACAUUAGCAUGGAAUAAUGGAAGAGGACCUCGGUCCUAUUUUGUUGGUUUCCAGGGCCGAAGUAAUGAUUAAGAGGGACAGUUGGGGGCAUUCGUAUUUAAUUGUCAGAGGUGAAAUUCUCGGAUUUAUGAAAGACGAACAACUGCGAAAGCAUUUGCCAAGGAUGUUUUCAUUAA